AGUGAACGCUGGCGGUAGGCCUAACACAUGCAAGUCGAACGGCAGCACAGUAAGAGCUUGCUCUUACGGGUGGCGAGUGGCGGACGGGUGAGGAAUACAUCGGAAUCUACUUUUUCGUGGGGGAUAACGUAGGGAAACUUACGCUAAUACCGCAUACGACCUACGGGUGAAAGCAGGGGAUCUUCGGACCUUGCGCGACUGAAUGAGCCGAUGUCGGAUUAGCUAGUUGGCGGGGUAAAGGCCCACCAAGGCGACGAUCCGUAGCCGGUCUGAGAGGAUGAUCAGACACACUGGAACUGAGACACGGUCCAGACUCCUAGGGGAGGCAGCAGAGGGGAAUAUUGGACAAUGGGCGCAAGCCUGAUCCAGCCAUACCGCGUGGGUGAAGAAGGCCUUCGGGUUGUAAAGCCCUUUUGUUGGGAAAGAAAAGCAGCAGGUUAAUACCCCGCUGUUCUGACGGUACCCAAAGAAUAAGCACCGGCUAACUUCGUG
rnacentral:rRNA from 1 species